rnacentral:rRNA from 1 species
ACUCCUACGGGAGGCAGCAGUGGGGAAUAUUGCACAAUGGGGGAAACCCUGAUGCAGCCAUGCCGCGUGUGUGAAGAAGGCCUUGGGUUGUAAAGCACUUUCAGUAGGGAGGAAGGUAGUGUAGUUAACACCUGCAUUAUUUGUACGUUACCUACAGAAGAAGCACCGGCUAACUCCGUGCCAGCAGCCGCGGUAAGUACGGAGGGUGCGAGCGUUAAUCGGAAUUACUGGGCGUAAAGCGCAUGCAGGCGGCCUGUUAAGUCAGAUGUGAAACGCCCGGGGUCUUAACCUCGGAAUUGCAUUUGAAACUGGCAGGCUAGAGUCUUGUAGAGGGGUUAGAAUUUCAGGUGUAG